UACGUAGGGACCGAGCGUUGUCCGGAAUCAUUGGGCGUAAAGAGCUCGUAGGCGGUUUGUCGCGUCUGCCUUGAAAGUCCGGGGCUCAACUCCGGAUCUGCGGUGGGUACGGGCAGACUAGAGUGAUGUAGGGGAGACUGGAAUUCCUGGUGUAGCGGUGAAAUGCGCAGAUAUCAGGAGGAACACCGAUGGCGAAGGCAGGUCUCUGGGCAUUAACUGACGCUGAGGAGCGAAAGCAUGGGGAGCGAACAGG
rnacentral:rRNA from 1 species